CUUGGCAUCGGCUCUAUGUCUUGGCUCGGCUCCUGCUAUAUGGACAUUAAAAAGGUCUGUUGAAGCUGCUUGGACUUCACGUGGGCGAAAGUGUGCUGCACGGAUCCAAUUAUAGAAUCAGGAUUAUGCUGCAUAGCUGUGCUGUGGGUCUGAUAUGUAAACAUUGUCCCGAGAUCACAGAUCACAAGGCCGUUUCAUUCCGGAGCACUAAUUGUGUGAGGUGAACUCCAGCCGCGCAUUUUCCCAGUUCAACAGCGGAGGAGCUGUCCCAUUUAACUUGGAAGUCRUGUCUGCCAUCCGCUUUGUCCUCGGUUGCACUCAACGUAAAGGCCUCUUAUGUAAGAAAGACAAAGCUACAAAGAAUGAACAUGUGGCUCAAGCACUUUGCUUUGCUGCUGCUAUCUUCACUGCCCAUUCUCAAGAGCUCUUCUGAAUAGCGUGAACUGCCAAUAUUCAUCUUUAUGGUUCUCUCACACAGUCUUCAAACAUGUGCAGCCACCCUUGCAAUAUGAUCUUAUGUCUCAAUUACUCUGAUGCAGAAACUCAUACAGAGCUUUACGGAGUGUCAUCCAAGACAGACAUGUCAUUCCUCUGCUGAUAAGUACAGAUCUUUUACAGUGAGUGUGGUCAGCAUUAAAGGGUGUCCAUCUUUAAGAACAUGUGGCUCUAUUGGAUGGUGUAAACAUGUUGGUGAUCUUUGGWGGGAAAGCUGGAGGUUGAAUCCUAGAUGGAAAUAGGAAUAAGCA